CUGUACCACAUCGCGUGUUUGCGAAAUGCUUUGUUACUGUUUCGUAGAAAACUGCGCAGCAGAAAUACGCAGACAAUGUAAAAUAGGAUACACCCCCAAUUAUACAAAAGAUUAACUAAACUGUCCAACAUCAAAUGUAUUGAGGGAGGAAGAACUGUACCAAUAAGUUGAUAAAAUUGUUUAACGCCUAUUUAGUACAAAACUUGUCCGUAAAAUGAGGAGGAAACCACAAUCUGUAAAAGUUUGCCUACUUUGGACCGUUAUGACAUUCACCCCUGCAUCAUCCGCAUUUCGAGAAAUCUUCACCCCUUCCACGACUCCCACUCCAGUAGAAACUAUGGUCGAGGCAUAAUAAUUAAGCACAUUUUAGAUUAUAUCUUGCUGAGAGGCUUAUUGGCCGAUCUUGUAAUGCUUAACAACAUUGCAAAUUUGAAAUUAGAAUUACUUUUUCAAUUGUUGACCGAUUUUCAAAAUACCGCCUGUUUUGGAAACCUCAGGCCAAUUGGCGAAAUAUAUAUUCCCAGAUUUUUAAAAUUCGAUCACACCCCCUUGCAAUUAAGGUCAUAAGUUCAAA